rnacentral:ncRNA from 1 species
GGUUCGGGAGCCAGCUGACGGGACAGCUGGCAUGAAUGGAACCUUCCCCCCUAUGCCCAAGCGGCGCGCUCCUGUGGCCCGACAGGACGUGUG